rnacentral:rRNA from 1 species
CAGCCGCCGCGGUAAUACGUAGGUGGCAAGCGUUAUCCGGAAUUAUUGGGCGUAAAGCGCGCGUAGGCGGUUUUUUAAGUCUGAUGUGAAAGCCCACGGCUCAACCGUGGAGGGUCAUUGGAAACUGGAAAACUUGAGUGCAGAAGAGGAAAGUGGAAUUCCAUGUGUAGCGGUGAAAUGCGCAGAGAUAUGGAGGAACACCAGUGGCGAAGGCGACUUUCUGGUCUGUAACUGACGCUGAUGUGCGAAAGCGUGGGGAUCAAACAGGAUUAGAUACCCCUGUAGUCCCUGUCUCUUAUAC